GCUCACUGGGAAACGUCCUGGCCUCUAUUGUCCGGGAGGUCGGGGGUCACAGGAUGCUCCUAAAGGCCCGAAAGGGGAGGUUAUUGCACUGGUGAUCUGGCAACCCACGCCGCUUUGAGUGUGUGUGUGUGUAUCUUUUAUUUUGAGGAAAAGAAUCUGCUAAUGGGAUGAGGCAGAAAAAGAACGUAAAGCUCAACAGAAAACCUUACAUACUGCAGCUUUAAAACCCUGGCUGUGACUCUGGCACAGACACAUGCCUCUGACUGCAGCGUCGCACAUUAACAGCCAUAUUUUUUUGCAGCACAAUUAAACACAUCGCCACCAGAGCAGCAGACGUAAAACAGAGACACGGUGUUUUCAUAAUGGAAACUUGUUGCGCCUCACGUGGGACGAACACAAACCAGUCCAGUCCAGUCGAACAGCGGGGGCCGAGGUGUAAAUCAUUUUUUAAGCUCCCGUGUCUGUCUGCGUGAAACGGCAUCCACGCCAUAUUUCCUGCACGAAAAGUAUGUUUUGACGGAGUUUGAGAAAUAGUCUUAUUUUGUUUUAUUACACUGGAACCAAAGGUCUUUAAGGGGCCUUUAGAGUCCCGUCCUUGUCUGGACCUCGGCGUCCCGGACGAACGGGAUGAGUAGACAUGGCUUUUUCUCGAGACGUUCACAGUCGACACUCAUUUAUCUCUUUUAUUAACUUUGCUGCAGCUUUGAACAAUAUACCAGAUGCUUGUUGUGUUGCUUUUUUAGAAGAUGUUCAUUUCAUGGAUAGCAAUGGAAUAACGUGAUUUGUUUCUUGACUCUUUAUAUCUGAUUAACAGAUGUGACAUAACAAUGCUGUCUAAACUGUACAUCAUAAGUGCUAUAGUGGAGGAACUAUUUAAACAUUUAGCAGAUUAAAA